UUCAUUUAUAUUUACUUUGAUUUUUAGUGAAAAAGUUUUUUUAUUUAAAUUAUUUUUAAUGAGUAUCGUUUGUGUAUAGAAUAUUGAUAAAAUUGUUUAUGUGGUAGAUUAAUUGUAUCGUAGGAGGUUGUUGAAAUAGUAUGAAAAUAUAUGAUUAAAAAAGUAAAUAAAUUGUUGUACCUUGUGUAUCAGGGUUUAUUAAAAAAAUUGUAAAUAUUUAUAUUUUCCCGAUUUGAAGAGAGCUAAAUGGUUAAUAUAGUUAAUGUAGAAUAAUUAUUAUUAAUAACUAUUUAGUAAUGAAACGUUAUUCGUUCUUUAAGAUAUCUGGUUUUUUGAGAAAUGAAUUUAAUUCAGGUUUUAUUAAGUAUAAUUUAUUUUUUUUAAUGAAUUAUUUAAUAUAACUAAUAUUUUAGGGGAUAAGCUCUAGAAUAGUAUGUAUAAUAAUUAGAAAUAUUUACAAAUUUUGUAGGCUUAGAAUUAGCCAUCUAUUAAAAGAUGUUAUAAUAUAAUUUGUAAUGAAUUUAAUUUUUAAGUGUUUAAAUUUUAUAUCAAAAUUAUUUAACUAACUAUGCGUUAAUUGUAAUAAUGAUAAAAUUAGUAUAUAAAUUGUUUAAAAAAUUAAUUAAAUGUAAGGUUACGUUAAGGAAUUAGGCAAAUUAAUGCUCGCCUGUUUAACAAAAACAUGUCUUCUUGAUGAUAAUUUGAAGUCUGACCUGCCCACUGAAUUUAUAUUUAAAGGGCCGCGGUAUUUUGACCGUGCAAAGGUAGCAUAAUCAUUAGUCUUUUAAUUGGAGGCUAGAAUGAAUGGUUGGACGAGGCAUUGACUGUCUCAGUGUGAUUGAUAAUAGAAUUUAACUUUUAAGUUAAAAGGCUUAAAUAUGUUUAAAGGACGAGAAGACCCUAUAGAGCUUUAUAUAUUUAAUUUAUUAUUUGUUUAGAAUAAUUUUUAUAAUAGAAGAAAAUAUAUUUUGUUGGGGUGACAGGAAGAUAAAUUAAACUCUUUUUAGUUUAUGUACAUUGAUUUAUGAAUUGUUGAUCCAUUAUUAUUGAUUAUAAGACUAAGUUACCUUAGGGAUAACAGCGUAAUCUUUUUCGAGAGUUCUUAUCGACAAAAAGGGUUGCGACCUCGAUGUUGGAUUAAGGGUAAUUUUGGGUGUAGAUGUUCAAAGUUUAGGUCUGUUCGACCUUUAAAUCCUUACAUGAUCUGAGUUCAGACCGGUGUAAGCCAGGUCGGUUUCUAUCCUUAAAUUUAUUAUGAUAUUUUAGUACGAAAGGACCAAGUAUUGGGAAAAUUUUUUCUUUGUUGUUGAUAAAUAUUAACAAAUU
rnacentral:rRNA from 1 species